rnacentral:lncRNA from 1 species
AUGAUAGAUAGAGAUGUGGCUACAACAAUUCCAUAUCUCUCACUGGCACAGAAUACUGGCUGGAAGAAGAGAAACAGCUGUACUCUAGUGCCGUCCCAGAGGAAUAAGGAAGACCUUCCUCAGAUGGAAUUUUGUUGCUGUUUGCAUCUAUUGGGAGAGUUCUCAAAGGUAUUAAGGAUUAUCAUUAGACGAUGCUCAUCAAUCAUUAUUAUUGUGGAUAAGCUUCAUUUGAUCUGCCCUUCAAGAACAUCAAAGAUGGAAAGAGAGGAGUCAUUUUACCUACUGGAAGCUACAUUGAGCAGUGAUCAGGGAGCCUCUGCUGAUGAGAAUGCUUUCAACAUUCUUCUCCAUCAUAUCCAGAUGGAGCCAGACUUAGAAACCUUCUAGUUCUCUGAGUAAGAUCAUCAAACAGAUGAAAAAUAAGAAAGCAUCUGGAAAUGAUAUCAUUCCUGCCAAAUGUUCACACUAGAAAAAAAGUAGCUCAUGUAAUGUGUCUGUAUUCUCCUCAUAAAAUAUAAGAAUAAAAGAGAAAAUGCUACAUGUCCCCAGGGACAAGGAGAUCAUCAGUUUUACAUAAUGAUAUACAUCCUAUGACAGGCUAGAUAUCCAUUCCUGAACCAGCUGCAGAGUAUAUGUUUUAGAUAAAAGAUAGUUUUCAUAAAUAAGUAUCGAUGAGGAAACUCCACAUUCUGUUUUGGAAAGACAAUAUGUUCAUGUCUUAAAGGUGGAUGUUUUGACAUUGAGAUUUCACCUCUCUCUCUACAGUGGAUUUCUGUUUCAUCUAGUUUCUAGUGCUUUUCUUAGGAAACACUGUAUAAAUAUCUUGCAUCCACUUUGAGAUGUUUUUGUUGAGGAAAGCAGCUCAUCAAGGGCUUAGUGACUUGAAAUGAACCUGAAAGUUCCUGCUUUAGAAUAUAACUUCGUUUGAUUUCUGAGCGAUGAGUAAAAUUUUCAAAACUGUAGAGACUACUUUGCAUAUGUCCUUUUCACUAGAAGGUUUGGGAAGAACCUUACUUACUGGAGGUGCACAGGAUUCAGAACCAGAAAUCCUAAGCAGAAAUCCUAUUUUUACCAUUUUCUGAGAAAUUAUUGAACCUCUGUUUUAUCAUCUCCAAACGAGAUAGCAUCAUAACACUAAAGGAAAAGGGCUUUGUAACUGUAAUACACUAUCACAGUCUCAUUCCUUUCUCCUAGUAUGCACUUUUGAAAAACAUUCAACUAAUCCUAAUGUAUUUUUUAAAGUUCACAAAGACUUUCACAUGCAGAUUUCCAUGGGAUGCUCUUGACAGACUCUGAAGCAGAUAUUGCUUUGUUAGUUGUUAUGUUGUUAGUUCUCUGAAAUUAUAAAGUAUUCCUUUUGGCACAGUGCUUUGUAAUUAUAGUUGUCUUAAUGUGUGUAUUUGAUAGGUAGUUGUAUUAGUCAAAUGUUGUCAUAAUAAUGCUG